UACGUAGGGGGCUAGCGUUGUCCGGAUUUAUUGGGCGUAAAGAGCGUGUAGGCGGCCAUGUAGGUCCGGUGUGAAAACUCGAGGCUUAACCUCGAGAUGUCAUCGGAAACCAUUUGGCUAGAGUCCGGAAGAGGAGAGUGGAAUUCCUGGUGUAGCGGUGAAAUGCGCAGAUAUCAGGAGGAACACCGGUGGCGAAGGCGGAUCUCUGGGCCUUACCUGACGCUCAGGCGCGAAAGCUAGGGGAGCGAACAGG
rnacentral:rRNA from 1 species